rnacentral:misc_RNA from 1 species
UUUCUUGGUUGUUGUUGUUGUUGACUUGUUUGUAUUUUAUUUAUUCUAUAAUUCUAUUUUAUAGUACAUCCACAUGCCGUAGGUACGAGUUUAGUUAACAGUACAAUAUAAAAUAAUGUGUAUUUCCUAAAUAUUUCUAUUGUUUGUAUUCAUUAGUUAUGGAAGUAAAUGGUAAGGAAGACUUUGGAGAAUAUGAAAAAAAUUAUGCAGAAACUCAGUUAAACACAUCAAUAGAUAUUGAAGACAUUAAAAAUGAACCAGGUGAACAUUGCUCAAAUGAGGGAAGUAAAGUAAAAGUUAAGAAAGAAUAUGAAAAAGCAGAAACUGAGCUAUGGGCAUCUAUAGACAUUAAAGACAUUAAAAAUGAACCAGGUGAACACUGCCCAGAUGAGGGAAGUAAAGUAAAAGUUAAGAAAGCAUAUGAAAAAGCAGACACUGACCUAUGCACAUCUAUAAACAUUGAAGACAUUAAAAGUGAAUCAGGUGAACAUUGCCAAGAUGAGGAAAGUAAAGUAAAAAUUAAGGAAGAAUUUGGAGAAUAUGAAAAAAUAUAUGCAGAAACUCAGCUAUGCACAUCUAUAGACAUUGAAGACAUUAAAAAUGAACCAGCUGAACAUUGCUCAGGCAAAUGCUGCAAGAUGAAGACUGGGAGGAGCUUUUUGCAGUACCAAAUUGGGAUAUAGAAAAGCAAUGGGUUGUAUUUAUGAAAAUCAUUUCUUUGUUAUUUGACCAAUGCUUUCCAGAAAAAAAUAUAAAUAAACAUAAAAAACGUAUCAAAUACUAUAAUACAAAUGAAAUAAACCAAUAUAAAAGUCGCUUAGACCUUUUGCUAAUGUUAAGUAGAAUAGAUGACCAUUACAAAGAUGAGUACAAACAAACAAAACGUCAGUAUAAUAAAAUGCUUGUCGAUUCACGAAAAAUGCAAUAUGGGCAAUAAAUAUAUAAUAGUCAAAAUAAGUCAAAAAGUCUAUGGAAAAUCGUUAAAAAAAUCACACAGGCAAAUUCUAGCGAUAAUAAUGUAGCAAUACUAGGAGAUCCAGUCACGGUCUUUCUCAAAAUAAGAAUAUAUUGGAGAUAAUUGAAGCUGAACAUACAUGUAUUACAGUUGAACAAACAAUUCGACAAGGAGAAGAAAAAUCAUCAAAAUGUACGAUUUUUUCCAAAGAUUUAAAAAGCAAUAUGCGAUUACAUAAUGACGAAAAAUCUUAUAAGUGUGAAAUUUGUACUAAGGAGUUCACUAACAAAUCUGAUUUAAAUAUUCAUAGAAGAAUACACAAAAAUACACAUAAAUGUGAAAUUUGCUUCAAGCAGUUUUCACAAAGAACCGGUUUGAAACGCCAUUUGCAAACGCACACUGGCGAAAAACCUUUCAAAUGUGAGAUUUGUUCUAAACAGAUUACACAGAGGAGUCAUUUGAAAAGACAUCUGAGAAUCCACACAGGAGAAAAACCUUUUCAAUGUGACAUUUGUAGUCAAUCGUUUUUCUUCAAGAAUAAUUUGAAAGACCAUUUAAUUAGACACACUGGAGAAAAAAAUUAUGAAUGUGAGAUUUGUAGUCAAUCCUUUUUCUAUAAGGGUCAUUUGAAGGACCAUCUAAAAAUACAUACUGGAGAGAAGUCUUUUGAAUGCGGCAUUUGUAAUAAAGGGUUUUUUCACAAGGGCAAUUUGAAAGACCAUAUGAUAAUGCAUACUGGAGAAAGAUCUUAUAAAUGUGACAUAUGCUUAAAGCGUUUUUCUCGAAGUGGAGUUUUGAAACGACAUUUGAAAAUACAUACGAGUACUAGGCAAAAACUUUUUGAAUGUGCGAUUUGUUCUUCACAUUUUUACACUAAGAGUCAAUUGAGCCGUCAUAUCAUUUCACAUAAUCCUGAAAAAGUGUAUAAGUGUGAAAUUUGUUUUACGCCGUUUUAUAGAAAGGGACUUUUGAAGACACAUUUUAAGAAUCACACUAAAAAAAAUCUGUGAUUCCCUGUAAGAGAGAAACUUUUGAAUGUGCGAUUUGUUCUUCGCGUUUUUACACCAAGUUUCAUUUGAGACGUUAUUUCAGCACAUUUAAUCAUGAAAAAGUGUAUAAAUAUGAAAUAUGUUUUACACCGUUUUAUAGAAAGGGUCUUUUGAAGGCACAUUUAAAUAAUCACACUGAAAAAAUGUAUGAAUCACACUAAAAAAAUCUGUUAAUCACAAAUCUGAAUUUUGUCCUAGAGUUUACUAAAAAAAUUAAAUAGUCAUAGAAGAAUACACAAAAAUCCAUAAAGAUGUGAAAUUUCCGUCCUACGCUGAGAAGUGGAUGGCAAACUGAGCUGUCACUAUCGCUGCAGCGACAUCGAACGGCUCAUCUUGGGCGUCACGCGUCGUGUCGCAAAUGAAUGAACCUGGAUCCAUUUUAUUUGCCGCGUAUUGCGUGGCGAGACAAGCGUUUUUUACUGCGAGCUUCAUUUAUCAUAAAAAAUUUAACUAAGGGCCGGUAUUUCAACAGCUACUUAAGCUUUUGCUUAGCUAAGCCUCUGUCAAAAGUUAAAGGAGAAGCUUAAGCUGGGUGCCGUAUUUCCAUCAUUUCCUUAACUAAACUCGUCCUCAACUGUCAAGUUAAUUGGAUUGGUAUCUCUGAGUACGUCAGAAUGCCAGAUCUAACUGUUCUGAGGUAAAAACCACUACUGUUGACAUUUAAUUUUAUCUUGUCAUCUGUGUCAGUUUUAUUUUUACUUUACUUAAUUUUAUGUACAUGGUAAAUGUGUUGUUAGUAUAUUGUGUACAUAUUAUAUUUUCUCUGGUUACAUUUUUUAUUGGUAUUCUGCAUUUAAGUAAUAAAUCCGUCUAUGUAAUUUUGUUUAUUGCAUUUUUUAUAUUCCUUAAAAUGUCAAAUUGGAAUAUAUGUUUACUUUUGUAAAAUAAAUAUACCCAAGCAUUGUAGAAAUAAAUAAUUUUCAUGUGCCUACAUCUUCCAAAUGGAUUAAGAAUUUUAUUUUAAUAAUCGUUAGUAAUAAUCCACUAAUAAUGUUGUUACGCAAAAGUUGAUUUUCAAAAUAACUCUGGAAUUAUUAAUCUAUAGAAAUAACCUCAAAAAACAGAAAACAAAUUUUAAGCAAAGGCUUAAACCAACUCCAGUGCGAGCUUAAAAUUAUUUGGUUUAAGCCUAUAUGCUUAAGCCUCAACUUGAAGUGAAAAUACAGGCAUCUAGGCUUAAGCUCAGGCUUAAAGUAAGCUUUGGCUUAAGUGAGGUUGGAAAUACCGGCCCUAAACCCAUUUAACGCCGAAAUUAUUUUGUUUUAAAAUUUUACUUACCUAUACAUAAUUAUGAGUAAUUUUGUACUGU